rnacentral:rRNA from 1 species
UUCCGUAGGGUGAACCUGCGGAGGGAUCAUUACCGAGUUUACAACUCCCAAACCCAUGUGAACAUACCUAUUGUUGCUUCGGCGGGAUUGCCCCGGGCGCCUCGUGUGCCCCGGAUCAGGCGCCCGCCUAGGAAACUUAACUCUUGUUUUAUUUUGGAAUCUUCUGAGUAGUUUUUACAAAUAAAUAAAAACUUUCAACAACGGAUCUCUUGGUUCUGGCAUCGAUGAAGAACGCAGCGAAAUGCGAUAAGUAAUGUGAAUUGCAGAAUUCAGUGAAUCAUCGAAUCUUUGAACGCACAUUGCGCCCGCCAGUAUUCUGGCGGGCAUGCCUGUCUGAGCGUCAUUUCAACCCUCAUGCCCCUAGGGCGUGGUGUUGGGGAUCGGCCAAAGCCCGCGAGGGACGGCCGGCCCCUAAAUCUAGUGGCGGACCCGUCGUGGCCUCCUCUGCGAAGUAGUGAUAUUCCGCAUCGGAGAGCGACGAGCCCCUGCCGUUAAACCCCCAACUUUCCAAGGUUGACCUCAGAUCAGGUAGGAAUACCCGCUGAACUUAAGCAUAUCAAUAAGCGGAGGA